GACGAACGCUGGCGGCGUGCCUAAUACAUGCAAGUCGAACGGUCUUUUCUAUGGAAGCUUGCUUCCACUGAGAAGAUAGUGGCGGACGGGUGAGUAACACGUGGGUAACCUGCCCAUAAGAGGGGGAUAACAUCCGGAAACGGGUGCUAAUACCGCAUAGUUUUCUUGAUCGCAUGAUCGGGAAAGGAAAGACGGCCUUUGUGCUGUCGCUUAUGGAUGGACCCGCGGCGUAUUAGUUAGUGGGGGAGGUAAUGGCUCACCAAGACGAUGAUACGUAGCCGACCGGAGAGGGUGAUCGGCCCCAUUGGGACUGAGACCCGGCCCAAACUCCUACGGGAGGCAGCAGUAGGGAAUCUUCCGCAAUGGAGGAAAGUCGGACGGAGCAACGCCGCGGGAGGGAAGAAGGUUUUGGGAUCGUAAAACUCUGU
rnacentral:rRNA from 1 species